CCUACGGGAGGCAGCAGUAGGGAAUCUUCCGCAAUGGACGAAAGUCUGACGGAGCAACGCCGCGUGAGUGAUGAAGGCUUUCGGGUCGUAAAACUCUGUUGUUAGGGAAGAACAAGUGCUAGUUGAAUAAGCUGGCACCUUGACGGUACCUAACCAGAAAGCCACGGCUAACUACGUGCCAGCAGCCGCGGUAAUACGUAGGUGGCAAGCGUUAUCCGGAAUUAUUGGGCGUAAAGCGCGCGCAGGUGGUUUCUUAAGUCUGAUGUGAAAGCCCACGGCUCAACCGUGGAGGGUCAUUGGAAACUGGGAGACUUGAGUGCAGAAGAGGAAAGUGGAAUUCCAUGUGUAGCGGUGAAAUGCGUAGAGAUAUGGAGGAACACCAGUGGCGAAGGCGACUUUCUGGUCUGUAACUGACACUGAGGCGCGAAAGCGUGGGGAGCAAACAGGAUUAGAUACCCUGGUAGUCCACGCCGUAAACGAUGAGUGCUAAGUGUUAGAGGGUUUCCGCCCUUUAGUGCUGAAGUUAACGCAUUAAGCACUCCGCCUGGGGAGUACGGCCGCAAGGCUGAAACUCAAAUGAAUUGACGGA
rnacentral:rRNA from 1 species